AUUGAAGCUGGAUGAAGGGUCAAACAAGAGAGAUCUUUAUGGUGUAUUAUAUAAAUAAUUUAAGUUAAGAGUAAGAACGCUCUUUUAAUUUAAAAAGACGAUAAGACCCCGGAAGCUUUAGUUAGUUUGUGUGUCUAUAUGAAGAAUAUUUAAGGCGGGUUUAUUAAUGUUAGCUGGGGUAGUUUAUUUUUAUUGAAUUAAGUUUAGGGUUAAUUCUUCAGGGAGAUGAUAGAUCCUUUAGAUAAGGAUAAAUAGGAUUAGUUACUCCGGGGAUAACAGCGCUAUAAUUUUGGAGAGAUCUUAUCUAUAAAAUUGAUUGCGACCUCGAUGUUGAAUUAAAAUAUCUUUAUGGGGUAGAGAACAUGAGAGAGGGUUUGUUCAACCUUUAAAUUUUUACGUGAUUU
rnacentral:rRNA from 1 species